rnacentral:rRNA from 1 species
CCUAAAGGCGUAAUGAAAGUGAAGGUUAUUAUUUAUUAAUAACUUAGGGAGGAUGAGUUAUGUAAUUUAACAUGAUUCCGCACUCCCGGGGCGUCUCAUUCACAUUAUGCGAAGAGGCGCACCCAGAGCGUACACGUUGGGACCCGAAAGAUGGUGAACUAUGCCUGGUCAGGAUGAAGUCAGGGGAAACCCUGAUGGAGGUCCGUAGCGAUUCUGACGUGCAAAUCGAUCGUCGGAACUGGGUAUAGGGGCGAAAGACUAAUCGAACCAUCUAGUAGCUGGUUCCCUCCGAAGUUUCCCUCAGGAUAGCUGGCACUCGUGAAAGUUUUUUUUCAAUUAUAAACUUAUAUGAGUCUCAUCUGGUAAAGCGAAUGAUUAGAGGCCUUGGGGCCGAAACGACCUCAACCUAUUCUCAAACUUUAAAUGGGUGAGAUCUCUGGCUUGCUUGAAUAUCAAAUAUAUAUAUAUAUAUUUUGAAGCCAUGAGAUAUCGGAUCAGAGUGCCAAGUGG